CAAACAAAACAGCCGAAACUUCCUCUCGAAUGGAAGUGCGGGGGAUCUUCUUUACUUGCAGAUGAGAGAUCUGCAUGGGGUGAAUCGCCAAAGUGCGUAGGGUUGUUUCCUCAAUCCGAAUCCGUCAACUAACCUCGUAGGCCAAAAAAAGGAGACGA
rfam:Brevibacillus choshinensis strain DSM 8552 scaffold2, whole genome shotgun sequence.